GAGCUCUUGCCAUUGCUCCAUCCACGAGACACAUGCUUCUGUAGAAGUAAAUUUGACUUUCUGAGAAAAUUUAUGUUCGACUGCUAUUUCUUUUGCAGCACAAAUAGUAUGUUUCUAACAAUUUGGUGGCCUGUACAAGGACCCCAUUCUCCUCCCAGAGGGUUUUCCAUCCUCUCCUGUGAGGACACAUGCCCCACUGCCUCAUUGCAGUAGCCUCAGGGGUAAGGAAUGGAGACCCCCCUAGUGUGAUGAAUAAACCCGGACUCUCAGCAACAUGGGAAGAAAAGACCUACAAAUACCGUGGUGACCAGAUAACUCUGUCCACAGACCAAGAACUAAAGGCCUUUUAGCACAGGCACCACCCCUGGAUUUCCCAGCACACCUGCAUCAACCUGGAGAUCACGUUUUCAUUAAGAGCUAGAGGGAAGCAAAACUCGAACCGGCUUUGGGAAGGACCCUUCCUAGUGCUUCUAACCACCAAGACCACAGUUGAAACAGCAAAGAGGAUGGACCCAUCACACCCGGGUCAAAAAAGCACCACCCCCUCCAGAAUCAUGGACAGUUAUUCCAGGGCCAACUCCAAACAAGCUAAAGCUAAAACGGGUUUAAUCCUCUUAUGUUGCAACUCUUUCUUUUCCCCUUCUAUUACUAGUCCUCUCAUGAUUAAUGUAACUAAGUCAAGUUCACCCCAAACUAUUACUUUUAAUGCUUGCCUUUUGAUGCUCUGUGGAGAUUUACCAAGCCAGAGGUAACACUCCACUUCAGAAAAGUAUCUUUGUCCUUCCUAGCUCUCCUCAGACUAAAAAUCUGUUAACUAGGAUAAGUUAGUUUAAAAAUAGCUUGACAAAGAUUCCAGUAUAAACUGGAAUCUUGUCCUCCUAGGGCAGAGCUUCUCUGCCAAAGUUGGUCCAAUGCUCUAUAAAAUACUAAAGAACAAGGAUAGAUUGCUCUAACUAGUACUUGCAGUUUCUUAAAACCUUAUAUUUAUUUUACUAAAGCACUUACCCCUCCCAAUUGUCAGCUGAACCAUCAUAAUCCAGUACAGAUUACCAUCUCUGCUCCCCAGAGUUCUUCCCCUUCAUUAAGCUACGUCUAUAGUAUAAGAGCAGAAGUAUCAGGGAAGGACGCUUUAGGAUCCUUUAAAAUGCACUUCAUUGUUUCCCCACCUCCUGCACCCCCUUCUCCCUCUCCAAAGUUCUCUGCUAAUCAAAUCUUUUCUCAUUAUAUACCCAAUGAUAAAACCAAAGUACCUGUUACAGAGGUUAAAAAUUUAAAACAAACUAUAGCAAUUAAACAGGAUAUCAAGACACAAAUGCUUGGCUGGAAUGGAUUAAAUAUUCUGUUCACAUGCUAAACAAAAGCGACUGUUACUCUUGUGUGACAGGCAAGCCAGAGACCCAAAUUGUCCCCUUUCCACUUGGGUGGUCCUCUCAUGGACUGGGCAUAAGCUGUAUGGCAGCUGGGCAUAAACAGUAUGGUAGCUGUAUGCUAGCCCCCUUCCAAAACCCCACAGCCUGGGGCGAUGAGUCAUGCGAAACUCUUUCACUGCUGUUCCCUGAGGUCAAGAGCCCUAAGGGUCAGCCCCUGAGGGCCAUCUGGCCUCCAGUCCCUAAUAUUAACUUCACCUCGUGCCUUUCACUGCAGGGGGAAAAGUUAGCAUUCCUUGGAGACUUAACAGGGUGCAGUGAAACCAAGCCUUUUCAAGAGCUUACCAAUCAGUCUGCCUUGUUCAUCCCCAAGCAGAUGUGUAGUGGUAUUGCGAGGGACUAUUGCUGGGUACUCUGCCAAGCCAUUAGGGUGGCACUUAUGCUCUAGGCCUUUUCCAGGUGAAAAGGCCAUCCUUUUCCCCCUCUCAUUUCAUCAACCAAGAAAGAUAAUGGCAAAAGACCACAAAAACAAAAAAUGCCCUUCGUGUGUCCUUUAAUCCUCAUGUUUAUAUAAAUACUAUUGAAGUUCCACAAAGAGUACCAAAUAAAUUUAAGGCCCAUAACCAAAUAGCUGCAGGAUUUGAGUCUAUAUUGUUCUGAUAGUUGACUAUAAAUAAAAAUGUAAGUUAAAUGAAUUACAUCUAUUACAACCAGCAACAAUUUAAUUAUACCAAAGAUGCUAUUAAAAAAAUAGGUCAACAAUUAAGGCUCAUCAGUCAAAUGACUUAAGAAAAUAAAAUAGCAUUAAAUAUAAUACUAGCAAAAAAAAAGAGGUAGAAUUUGUGUCAUAAUUAAAACUAAAUGUUGUACUUUUAUCCCUAAUAGCACUGCCACCAAUGAAUCAUAACAAAAGUACUACAAGGCAUUACUACUUUGUCCAAUAAGCUAGCUAAAAUUUCUAAAAUAAAUAAUCCCUUCACUAAUUUAUUGAAAAAUGGUUUAGCAAGUUAAAAGGACUUACGUCCUAAAUCCUCACUUCCCUUGCUAUUAUACUAAAUGUGAUCAUUCUUGUUAAGUGUUGUAUUAUCCCUUGCAUCCAUAAGCUAAUUUAGAGGCUUAUAAAAACAGCUCUCAUUAAAACCUUCCCCAAUUCUCCCCUACCCUAUUCAGACAAACUUUUCCUUCUAGAUAAUAAUUUUUUAAAAAUUCGACAAAUUCAAGCCACGUUAAAUAAAUUUAAAGAAGGAAGUGUAUAAAUUCAAGAGGGGUCAAAUUGUUAAAAACAAGUAGUUCAAACAGUUCCUCUUCAAAGAGUUUCACUUUGUUACAAACAAGGUAUUCUUCUCCAUGAGGUCUUCACUUCCUUGUACUGUCUCUCCUGAAGUCUUAUUCCCUGGUCUAAAUAAUUCUUGCCUGCCAAUCUAUCAACCCCUCCUGCCCUGCUGUGCUCAGACAUGCCCGCCAGGAAACCACCCCCUCCCUGCUGUAACAGCUUUACCCGCAGAAACUGUUCUUCCCUGCGCUCUUCUAAUUAGCUAAUUACAUUUAGCUUAGACUGUGCGGCCGACCCCAACCAAUAGGGGAAUGAAACAGCAACUAAGGCCAACAGGGUUAGGGAUUAAAAACCCUCUCCAUUAAAAAUGCUCUCCAUUGUGUGAUGUGCUCUCGCCAUUGCUCCACCCACAAGAUACACUCUUCUAUACAAGUAAAUUUGCCUAGCUGAGAAAACUUAUAUUCAAAUGCUAUUUCUUUUGUGGCACUAAAAAUUUGUUCCAACAAUAGAUUUCUGUGGUUUUAACCUCACUUAUUUAAAAUUAAAUGGAUUUGUAAGCCA
rnacentral:lncRNA from 1 species